rnacentral:rRNA from 1 species
CGGAGGCAGCAGUGGGGAAUCUUGCACAAUGGGGGAAACCCUGAUGCAGCGACGCCGCGUGAGCGAUGAAGCCCUUCGGGGUGUAAAGCUCUUUCGGCAGGAACGAUAAUGACGGUACCUGCAGAAGAAGCUGCGGCUAACUACGUGCCAGCAGCCGCGGUAAUACGUAGGCAGCGAGCGUUGUUCGGAGUUACUGGGCGUAAAGAGUAUGUAGGCGGUUUUGCAAGUUCGGUGUGAAAUCUCCCGGCUCAACUGGGAGGGUGCGCCGAAAACUGCAAGGCUAGAGUGUGGGAGAGGAAAGCGGAAUUCCUGGUGUAGCGGUGAAAUGCGUAGAUAUCAGGAGGAACACCGGCGGUGUAGACGGCUUUCUGGACCAUUACUGACGCUGAGAUACGAAAGCGUGGGGAGCAAACAGGAUUAGAUACCCUGGUAGA